rnacentral:rRNA from 1 species
AACGAACGCUGGCGGCGUGCCUAACACAUGCAAGUCGAACGGGAAAACCCGCAAGGGUGAGUACAGUGGCGCACGGGUGCGUAACACGUGGGUAAUCUGCCCAGAAGCCCGGAAUAACUCCCCGAAAGGGGUGCUAAUGCCGGAUGAGACCAAGGGGACUUCGGGUCCUGGGGGAAAAGGUGGCCUCUGUAUACAAGAUAUCACUUGUGGAUGAGCCCGCGGCCCAUCAGCUAGUUGGCGGGGUAAUGGCCCACCAAGGCUACGACGGGUAGCUGGUCUGAGAGGACGAUCAGCCACACUGGAACUGAGACACGGUCCAGACUCCUACGGGAGGCAGCAGUGGGGAAUCUUGCGCAAUGGGCGAAAGCCUGACGCAGCAACGCCGCGUGUGUGAUGAAGGUCUUCGGAUCGUAAAGCACUGUCGGGAGGGACGAAUAAGGGCCGGGUGAACAAUCCGGUUCGACGACGGUACCUCCAGAGGAAGCACCGGCUAACUCUGUGCCAGCCGCCGCCGUAACAC